rnacentral:rRNA from 1 species
AGUGAACGCUGGCGGUAGGCCUAACACAUGCAAGUCGAACGGCAGCACAGUAAGAGCUUGCUCUUACGGGUGGCGAGUGGCGGACGGGUUAGGAAUACAUCGGAAUCUACUUUUUCGUGGGGGAUAACGUAGGGAAACUUACGCUAAUACCGCAUACGACCUACGGGUGAAAGCAGGUGAUCUUCGGACCUUGCGCGAUUGAAUGAGCCGAUGUCGGAUUAGCUAGUUGGCGGGGUAAAGGCCCACCAAGGCGACGAUCCGUAGCUGGUCUGAGAGGAUGAUCAGCCACACUGGAACUGAGACACGGUCCAGACUCCUACGGGAGGCAGCAGUGGGGAAUAUUGGACAAAGGGCGCAAGCCUGAUCCAGCCAUACCGCGUGGGUGAAGAAGGCCUUCGGGUUGUAAAGCACUUUUGUUGGGAAAGAAAAGCAGCAGGUUAAUACCCCGCUGUUCUGACGGUACCCAAAGAAUAAGCACCGGCUAACUUCGUG